rnacentral:rRNA from 1 species
GUAGCAAGCUAAGUGGGCUUGAUUGUGGGGAAAACUCCACAGUUAAGCACGCUUGAGCCAAAGGCAUCCUAGGAUGGGUGACCACCUGGGAAGUCUUGGUUAUUGGGUGCA